GAUGAACGCUAGCGGCAGGCUUAACACAUGCAAGUCGAGGGGUAACAGGAGUGCUUGCACUCGCUGACGACCGGCGCACGGGUGCGUAACGCGUAUAGAACUUACCUUUUACAGAGGGAUAGCCUUUAGAAAUGAAGAUUAAUACCUCAUAGUAUUGAGACUCGGCAUCGAGACUCACUUAAAGAUUUAUCGGUAAAAGAUGGCUAUGCGUCCUAUUAGUUAGUUGGUAAGGUAACGGCUUACCAAGGCAGCGAUAGGUAGGGGUCCUGAGAGGGAGAUCCCCCACACUGGUACUGAGACACGGACCAGACUCCUACGGGAGGCAGCAGUGAGGAAUAUUGGUCAAUGGAGGAAACUCUGAACCAGCCAUGCCGCGUGAAGGAUGACGGCCCUAUGGGUUGUAAACUUCUUUUAUAUGGGAAGAAACUUAUCUACGUGUAGAUAACUGACGGUACCAUACGAAUAAGGAUCGGCUAACUCCGUG
rnacentral:rRNA from 1 species